GUUCAUGUGCUAAUAAAAUUGAUCCAAGUGAAGGAGAUACUAAUAUAAUCAGAGAAGAAGGAGAGUCUGUGACACUGAGCUGCACAUAUGAAACAAACAGCAAUGAUAUUUAUCUUUACUGGUACAGACAAUAUCCAAACAGAGAACCAGAAUAUAUACUGUAUAAAGGUGCUCGAUCAUGGAGCAGUUAUAAUGAUAUACCAGAUGGGUUUCAGUCAGCUACAUCCCAGUCAUCCACUGAACUCACUAUUGUAAAAGCUGCUCUGUCAGAUUCAGCUCUCUAUUACUGUGCUCUAAGAGUAGGAGCCCAAUGAUGCAAAAUACCAGAGAAGCUUUACAAAAACACACAUGAAAUUAAUGCUUUGAAGUGUCUUUAAUCAACGAUUAUCAAAACACUUUUGCAACACAACAUUUUUGUAAACCACAAAGAUGGAAUGUGGUGACAGCUGUGAAUUUGGGAGGUAAAAAGGGUUACAAAAGGGCAUGUGAAUAUAAUUUAGCAUUUAGUUAGGUUAUCUCUUUUCUCAUAUUAUGUUGUAUAAGAAGUUUCAUUAAAAAUUAUAGUAGCUCACAUAUUUGAGCAAAAUGGCAGUAAAAUAUUGAUAUAAAAAAAUGCAAAGAAAUAAGCAUAUAUUUCAAACAGCUAUAAAUGCUCUUUUAAUCUUUUGUGUAUUGUAAUUUAGGACACUGACAGGACAGGAGGAGGAGUUUAGCACAGACACUAUACAGCAUACAGCUGGGUAAAGAUGAACAUCACUCAACACUGUGUGGAGCAGCUGCUCUGUUUUUAGUUUGUUCUUACCAGUGUAGUGAGUGAACAUGUUGAUCUAUAUUAUUAUACUGCUGUCAUCAACUGAAGGUUCCAGAGCCUCAGAAGUCAUCACUCCAAAAAGUGACAGAGAAUUUGCUCUUGAGAGUGACAAUGUGACACUCUCCUGUAACUACAGCGGUUCUGCUCGUGGUGUUCACUGGUAUCGACAAUAUGCAGGAUCACCACCACAGUUCCUCAUACUGGAAGAUUCAGGGGUUACAACUCCAGCUAAUCCACCAGUUCAAGGAAUAACCAUCAAACACAGAAAAAAAGAACUCCAUGUGGAUCUGGAGAUCUCCUCUGUUAAAGUGUCAGACUCUGCUCUGUACUACUGUGCUCUGCAGCCCACAGUGACAGGAAAACAAACUACACUGUACAAAAACCUGUAUUUCAGGAAAGUAUAAAAGCAUACAGGAUAUUUCUGCUGACAUUUUAUUAUAUAUAUUCAUGUUUAUUUCAUAUAACGUUAUAAAAUAAAUUUUAUCAAAUAGUCUUCA
ensembl:lncRNA